rnacentral:rRNA from 1 species
GACAAGAAAUAACAAUACGGGGCUUAAUGUCUUGUAAUUGGAAUGAUGGGAAUUUAAACCUCUUCCAGAGUAUCAAUUGGAGGGCAAGUCUGGUGCCAGCAGCCGCGGUAAUUCCAGCUCCAAUAACGUAUAUUAAAUUUGUUGCAGUUAAAAAGCUCGUAGUUGAAUUUCUGCUGCAUUACAUUUCUCUUGUUUGAGUUUGUUAUUGUGGCUUAUUUCGGAUUGAUUUUUAUCUUUCCGGAUGAUUACUUUGAGAAAAUUAGAGUGCUCAAAGCAGGCUUUUGCCUUGAAUAGUUUAGCAUGGAAUAAUAGAGUAGGACUUUGGUUCUAUUUUGUUGGUUUUAGGUACCAAAGUAAUGGUUAAUAGGAACAGUUGGGGGCAUUCGUAUUUAACUGUCAGAGGUGAAAUUCUUAG